GCCAAUCAUUCAUCAGAGCUCUCCAAACAGCACAGGAAACAAACAGCUGGCAGGAGACCAGACUUCUCAGUCCUUCAGGGAACUGGAAGGAGCAGCAUUGGCUGGUUCUGUUUGGUGGCAACCUGUUUCACUUCAGUUGUACCCUCAAGGGCUUUGCUUUGGAAGUCAAGUGGUUUGGAGACAGCCGUUCCCCUAGGGAAGGUCAUUGGACCCUUUGCAGGAGAACUGAGUUCCACCUCUGAAUAGGCCUUGCCACAAAGCCAUGUAGGUAUUGCAGUGGGGGAAGGGACUCCUACCAGUGGGUUGAAGUUUCUUGUCUCUCUCUGCCAUGGAGCACAAAGGGCUCUGGAAGACACUGGAGUACACCUGCAGACUGCUGGGGAUCUCCACAGCAGCAGGGGAUAGACUAGAUGGCCUCCAGAAGUCCCUUCCAGCCCUACUUUUUCAUUAUUGUAUGAUUCUCUGAAGCUGGCUAUGAGAUACUCCUUGUCCAAGCCAAGAGGAAAACAUAUAGCAAGCACCUCAAGAAAGCAGAGCCCAGCCACAGGGCUGAUUGUUGUGAAAAGCCAAGCCCAGGUUGAGGCUGGAUACAAAGCCCUGAAAUAUUCUCACAGCAGUGAACAAAGGUGCCAGUG